UUCGAAUGCUAUUUUCACCAGAU
rnacentral:miRNA from 1 species